UACGGAGGGUGCGAGCGUUGUCCGGAAUCACUGGGCGUAAAGCGCGUGUAGGCGGCUCUGCAAGUCGGAUGUGAAAGCCCUGGGCUCAACCUAGGAAGUGCACUCGAAACUGCAGAGCUUGAGUCUCGGAGAGGAUCGCGGAAUUCUCGGUGUAGAGGUGAAAUUCGUAGAUAUCGAGAGGAACACCGGUGGCGAAGGCGGCGAUCUGGACGAUGACUGACGCUGAGACGCGAAAGCGUGGGGAGCAAACGGG
rnacentral:rRNA from 1 species